CCGCCGGUAGCUCAGUUGGUAGAGCAGUGGGAUGGUACCCCACGCACGGCCCUGGGUUCUAGUCCCGGCCGACGCU